rnacentral:misc_RNA from 1 species
AAGUCGUGACAAGGUUUCCGUAGGUGAACCUGCGGAAGGAUCAUUACAAAAACAAAAUCCAAACCACACCACUGUGCUCUUUAUUGUGAGAAAAAUGUCUUUGUGUGUUGCUGUGUUGUUGGGGGAGAGGAGAAGAAUUUAUUUUUCCCCUUUCUUUCCUUCACACACACACACAAGCUUUUCCUCACAUGUCUUUGUUUUCAAUUUUUCAUUACUCCUUGUUUAACCAACAACGGAUUACAAUGUUAAAACUUGAAACAAACAAACAAAACAAAAUGACAACUUUUAACGGUGGAUCUCUUGGCUCGU